GAAAAAACUCCAAAGGCUGAGGUGCAAAAUCAGUGGCAUCGAGAAAACCCUAUGCAGAAUGGAGGUGAAACUUGCAAAGAUGCAAGGGAAGUUUAACAAAGAGACAAAGUGUGUGUCUACGCAAACUGGGAAUGAGCAGAAAGUGGACG